AACGAACGCUGGCGGCAUGCCUAACACAUGCAAGUCGAACGAGACCUUCGGGUCUAGUGGCGCACGGGUGCGUAACGCGUGGGAACCUGCCCUUAGGUUCUGAAUAACUCCCCGAAAGGGGUGCUAAUACCGGAUAAUGUCUUCGGACCAAAGAUUUAUCGCGUUUGGAUGGGCCCGCGUUGGAUUAGCUAGUUGGUAGGGUAAAAGCCUAUCAAGGCGACGAUCCAUAGCUGGUCUGAGAGGAUGAUCAGCCACACUGGGACUGAGACACGGCCCAGACUCCUACGGGAGGCAGCAGUGGGGAAUAUUGGACAAUGGGCGAAAGCCUGAUCCAGCAAUGCCGCGUGAGUGAUGAAGGCCUUAGGGUUGUAAAGCUCUUUUACCCGGGAUGAUAAUGACAGUACCGGGAGAAUAAGCGCCGGCUAACUCCGUG
rnacentral:rRNA from 1 species